CCCACGAGCACACGGACGCACUCAAGCCCACAGGGCAACGAGCACUGCCAUAGACGCACUGACACAGACGGAGGGCGGACUAAGGCCAUCAUCUGUGGCAUAGCAAUUCACACGAGAGCAAUCCAGCUAACUUGUUCGGCGCGACACUUCGACCCUCAGCCCCCUUCUUAUUGUUAUUCUCACGUCUCUCCCCAGCUUAGGAUGCCGUCACCUCACGUGGAGAAAACGCCAAUGGACGCGCGGGCGGAUGCGAGUGAUCCCGCGCCAGCGGCGACGAUGGUCAGCGCAGGCGAUGUGCCCAACGCUGAGGAGGACACAGCUGUCGCUUCGGACACGGGCAUGCUAGAUAAAACGAUGACGAAGAGGCGUGCGACCCGUCCUUCUUCGAGGAGGAGGCGGAGUGUGCCGCUCUGCUCGCGCGCGCUGCAGAGCUGUUGCCGCCGACAAAUAAGCAGCUUUUGCCCUCUGUCGGCCAGGACCCGAACGGAGUGGCUGCCAUGUUGGAAGAUCGCUUCGCGAAGAUUGUCGACCGCUACCAGAACAGCCCGCAUCUCUUGUACCCGUACCUGGAGAUGCUGAUACAGCCUCUCGUGGACCUGCUUCUCCGCUAUCUGCCCAACGCCGCGGAGGUGUGGGCACGCGAAGCGGGGUCGGGAGCGGGAGAGUCGCCUACGGCAGCUGCGGGUGCUGGGGAAGCCUUGACAUCGUCCACCGUUGCCGGGGCGGCAUCGCACCACCGGCGUCUGCGGCGGCGACGCAGACGCUGGUGGUGGCGAGUGCGCUGGGUCAGGACUUGACCAUGUUCGAUGCGGACGCACCCAAGACCCCGCUGCACGUAGUGUGCAAGGCCCUCUACAGCGUCGUCAAGACCGCUGGAGAAAAGUGCUGUACGAGCCACUUCCCCAAUAACGUGGGGCACUACGAAGACGUCUUUUACACGCUGCAGCUGUGGGUGGCCGACGCGACGCGGCAGCGCGAGUGGGAGGUGCGCUACUGCCUGCUGCUGUGGCUCUCGAAUCUCGUCCUCGUGCCCUUCUCUCUAGCCCUUGUCGACACGAACUCCGCCGAGGAAGGCGGCGGCUCGGCGGCGGUUCGACGGCUACCGCUCUCAGACGCCACCCUUGUCACAGCAAGCCGCUUCCUCGCCGACACGUCCAAGUGUCGCGAGGCGGCGGCCCUCCUCGUCGCCCGCCUGCUCACUCGGCCCGACAGUGCACGGCAUCGAGGGCUCUUCUUCGACUUUGCAAACUUCAUUCUGGAAUCCACCUCGCCCACCGCGACCGUGGGUGUUGGCGGGGCGGCGACGGUGGUGCCGCCAGGGGCUCCGUGGGCCUUCCUCGCCGAGGGGACGCAGAACACCUUCAGCUCACUCUUGUCGCAGCCUUUCCUACUGCCUGGCGUGCUGCUCGCGAUUGCGAAGACUAUGAAGCUCGGACGACGGGAGGAGCUCGUCGGCUUCGCACCUCGCCUGCUGGCGUGUGUGGCGGCCGUCUUUGAGCAACACCUCAACGAUAGCCUCCUCUGCAAGACAGCGACAAAGGUGGGCCAGCGGCUGGUGCUGUCCAUGUUGAAACGCCGCCGAGCCGAGUGGCGCUACAGCCGGCACAUUGCCUCCCUCAGCGCCAACCUCGGCGUUGCGGCUGCCGAGGGCGCGGCGCAGCUGAGCGCGCGGCAGGAGGAAGAGGCGGGCAGGGACGCCGUCGAUGAAGACAAGAUCGACGGGCUGGACGGAGACGAGGAAAGCCUUGAGACUGGGAUUGGGCUUCUUCUCCAGGCCGUUGGGCACAAGGACACAGUAGUGCGCUGGAGCGCAGCCAAGGGCAUCGGUCGCGUCUGCGAGCGACUACCUGCGGUGUUUGCCGAGGAGGUCAUGGGGGAGGUACUAAAGGUAUUCAGAAACGCGUACAGCGACGCCCAUUGGCACGGCGGCCUCCUUACGAUCGCCGAGCUGUGCCGCCGCGGCCUCGUGGGUACGGCGCUGCUGUCAAAGGUGGUGCCAUUGGUUGCCGAGGGCCUGGCGUACGACCUCAGCAGGGGCACCUACAGCGUAGGAGCGCACGUGCGGGAUGCCGCGUGCUACACUUGCUGGUCCGUGGCGCGCGCCUACGACGCUGAAGACCUCGUCAUCCACGUGCGCCAGCUGAGCGUCGCGCUUGUGGUUACGGCGCUUUUCGAUCGUGAGGUGAACGUGCGCCGCGCAGCGGCUGCCGCUUUUCAGGAGUGCGUGGGUCGUCUCGGCAACUUUGAGCACGGUAUCGAGCUGGUGACGGCGGUGGACUUCUUUUCGCUUGCCUCGCUGCGGCACGCGUACACGGUAGUGGCGCCGGUGAUCGCGCAGUACGACACGUACCGAGAUGGGAUGCUGCGGGAGCUCGUUGGUGCAAAGCUGCUGCAUUGGGACCGCAAUGUGCGCCAGAUGGCCGCCAUCGCGCUCGGGCUCGUUGCCAUCCGUGAGCCUGCCGCUACGAUUCUCGAGGAGGUGCUGCCGGAGCUGCUGAGGCGAGUCGAGGACACGACAGUGGCGACGCGUCAUGGCGCCAUCCUCGCCAUCGCGGAGCUCAUCCGCAACCUCACGCCGUCUGCGUGGAGCGAGGGUCACAUAGUGCAGUUUAUUGGUAUGCUGGCAACUCUUGAGGGGUCUCGUGGCUUUAGCGCGCGCGGUGGCACGCACAUCCGACAAGCAUGCUGCGUCAUGCUGCAAGCCAUUGCUGGCCAGUCCCUGCCCUUGCCGAACACGGUGGAGGUGAGACGAGUUGGUGGGCGGGUAGACAAGGUGCGGACCCUCGCCGUCGUCUUUGCAUUUCUAAAGGACUCGUGGGACAACAUUUUGGACUGGGUGCAGCACGCCGCUGCGGACACCUUCUGCGCGGUGGCGCAGACAUACUUCGUGAAGUUUCUCCCAUCCUUUCACGGCAAGGUAUUGAUGGAGGUGUACGAAGGCUGCUUGCCGGCGCAGCGUGUCCUGAGUCGGCGCGGCUUUCUCGCCGCGGUAGGUGGGUUGCCUGCGACGCUGCUGAAUGCGCCGUGGGCGCCAGGGGCAAUGACAAGUGCCGACGGGCCCACCAGUGGCGCAUCAGCCCCUCUCGCAUUCGAAGCGUUUCUCCCCGUGCUGCAGCGCGCCUCGUUGUUGAGCGCCGAGGACCUGCAGAACCCGGAGCUGGCGGACGCUCAUGUUCGCCGCAACGCGGUGCGCUCGCUCGCGCAGGUGCUCGUCCGCAUCGACCCCGGCGUGCCAUCUGUGACGCCGGCGUGGUACACCACGGUGAUGGAGGGAACAGUGCUGCAAGCACUGCAGGACUACGCGACGGACAAGCGCGGCGACGUCGGCUCGUUUGUGCGGCUGGCCGUGCUUGAGGGACUUCCCUCUCUGCUGACGUACGGCCUCACAGCCGCUGCGGCAGUCCCGCUCUGCACGGCGGCCACCAAGAUGCGUGUGCUGCAAGGCGUGGUGCGAUGUGUCUUGGAGAAGCUCGACCGUGUACGGGCUGUGGCCGGAGGUGUGCUCGCGCGCGUGCUGCUGGACGAUCCAUGCGACAAGGCGUUGUGGGCCGAAGGGACGGACAAGGAUGUGGGUCUGAGUAACUACGAGCUCAGUAUCAAGGCAGAGGUGGCGCUGUUUCGGGCACACCUUCGGCGCUUGGUGACCCAUGUUACCGGUGAAGACAGCGACGCUGGUGGCGAGCGCGGCGAACCCCUCGCCUGGAACAAUACGCAGCAGGUCAUCAGCUGCAUUGGCCCGUUCGUGCUGAUACACUGUCCUGUGAGCCUCGCCCACGCCGCGAUGGAGGGCCUCGUCGUGGCUGCGGGUGACCUCUCCGAGCACGUGCGCAGGCCGGCUGCGGCGGCGCUGCUCAGCGCUUUCCAUGGCGACCACGCGACGAGCGCUGAAGCCUCGGCUACCUUGCCGCAGCGCCUGUCUGCGUGUCUCAUGGACGUCCUUGUGGCCCACGAGCAUGAAGAGCGCAUGCUGAAGCCGGCCAGCCGCGUCCUGGACCUGCUCAUCAACGAGAACGUCUUUGCUGUCGAGCAGCACCGCGCAGUGCUGGAGAUGCUGCGAAAGGAACUGAAGCACUUUGCGCUGAACAUCAUCGUGCUGCUGGCGAUGGUGCCACUCUUGACGAACGUGUGCCGAAGCCCUGACGUCGAGGUGCGGCGCGGUGCGUGGGCGCUUGCUCUGACGAUGAUUGCCAGCCGCUACCCCAAGGUACGGGCCAAAGUGGCCUCAGACCUCUACGCGUCGCUGCUAGUGUUGACCUCCGGCGCGCUCGCCCCAGCAGGCCUCCCGCUGGAGGGGUGCAGGCGCGCGAUGGCCCACCUCAUGCUGGUGCAGUGGGACGGCAGCGACGCUGCGCGCACGAGGGCUGCGCGCAAUGAGCUGUACGACAUGCUGGAGAUUGACCCCCCUGCCGCUCGAGCAGCCAACGCCGGGGAGUCGGCGAACGAAGACGCGCAGCGAGGCUCCAUGCAGCCGGCGCGGAGUCUGCGGGGUGCGGUAGCCGCCACGUACAAGUCGCUCGUGCAGGAGACCGGCUACUGAGUCGACUUGGCGAAGAGGGGGUCGAGCUCACGUGCUGCUGUGCACGACGUCUUGGAAGCCCGACUACAGUUGAUGCCCAUGAUACCUGGCCGUUGCUUGUGCUACGCAUUCUCGACUCUAGUGCGGAGUGUAUGUGGGUUUGCGCACACUAAGUCCACCCCUUCCCCCUCCUCUAUCAGGCCUCUCGCUCUCUGAUGUGAACCGCAC
rnacentral:misc_RNA from 1 species